AACGCUAGCUACAGGCUUAACACAUGCAAGUCGAGGGGAAACGAUAUUGGAAGCUUGCUUCCGAUAGGCGUCGACCGGCGCACGGGUGAGUAACGCGUAUCCAACCUGCCCACCACUUGGGGAUAACCUUGCGAAAGUAAGACUAAUACCCAAUGACGUCUCUAGAAGACAUCUGAAAGAGAUUAAAGAUUUAUCGGUGAUGGAUGGGGAUGCGUCUGAUUAGCUUGUUGGCGGGGUAACGGCCCACCAAGGCAACGAUCAGUAGGGGUUCUGAGAGGAAGGUCCCCCACAUGGAACUGAGACACGGUCCAAACUCCUACGGGAGGCAGCAGUGAGGAAUAUUGGUCAAUGGACGAGAGUCUGAACCAGCCAAGUAGCGUGCAGGAAGACGGCCCUAUGGGUUGUAAACUGCUUUUAUAAGGGAAUAAAGUGAGUCUCGUGAGACUUUUUGCAUGUACCUUAUGAAUAAGGACCGGCUAAUUCCGUGCCAGCAGCCGCGGUAAUACGGAAGGUCCGGGCGUUAUCCGGAUUUAUUGGGUUUAAAGGGAGCGUAGGCCGGAGAUUAAGCGUGUUGUGAAAUGUAGACGCUCAACGUCUGCACUGCAGCGCGAACUGGUUUCCUUGAGUACGCACAAAGUGGGCGGAAUUCGUGGUGUAGCGGUGAAAUGCUUAGAUAUCACGAAGAACUCCGAUUG
rnacentral:rRNA from 1 species